AAACCUUUCCGGGGCAGGGUGAAACUCCCGACCGGCGGUGAUGAGCGAUUCGCUCUUAGUCCGUGACCCGCAUACGUGCGGUGGAUCUGGUGCAAUUCCGGAGCCGACAGUUACAGUCUGGAUGGGAGGAAAGGACA
rnacentral:ncRNA from 2 species